UCCGUAGGCGGGAAUCUAAGUCAGUGGUGAAAUCUUACAGCUCAACUGUAAAAUUGCCAUUGAUACUGGAUUUCUUGAAUUAGUGUGAAGUGGUUAGAAUGUGUAGUGUAGCGGUGAAAUGCAUAGAUAUUACACAGAAUACCAAUUGCGAAGGCAGAUCACUAACACUAUAUUGACGCUGAGGGACGAAAGCGUGGGGAGCGAACAGGAUUAGAUACCCUGUAGUCC
rnacentral:rRNA from 1 species